CAAGCUGUCACAGAGCAGAACUGCAGUGCUAUGCCAGAAAGUAAGCCCUAAGGUGGUGUUCAGCACAGCAAAUUCCCACAAGGAAAUUGGGAAUGGAUGCAGGAGCAGAGAAGGGGUUUAUUCCAAAGGACAUGAGCCUUCAGGGAAGAAAGCCAAGAAUAUUGGUGGUCAGUUUAUAUUACUGUUGGAUCUGAGUGCGUCCAUCACCACAUUGUAAAGAUGCAAAGCCACAAAUUCACAGAAGGUUGCUGCCUUAUCUCACCUUUUCACAGACCCUGCAAUUUUCCUUAUCGCUGGCAGCACCUGGGGAUAAAAUCUGCAUGUGAACUGCUUACAGCAGGACCUGCCCUAUUCACCCCGUGGGACAGGACUUCUCCUGCCUGCCCUUGCAGAGUUCCCAACAGUGUCCCGGCUCCCAGCAGCUCAGACUACCAGGAAGGCUGCAGCCCUCUCUCCCCACGACUGGGGCGACUUCUGAGGAGCAGAAAUCCAACCCCGGGGCUCCAUCCUGCAGAGACUGUACCUUGCUGGAGACAAGUACUGCAGACGGCUGCAGCUGCUCAAGCCAACUGGGACGGCAGCCGCCGGCCCCCACGCACCAGCCCUGCAGCUCAGGUGUCCUCAGGAAGGAGAGAAUUAGUGAGGACUUUAAUGCUGGAUUAGGCUGCCCCAAGUUUUCCCUUUUUCUCCUACCACCAGCUCAGCCCGUGGCAGCAGGCGGUCUCCGGUGUGGGUUACAGCCUGGCACUGCCUCUCGGAGUGGCCACGUCCUCUCCUUGACUCACAUCCCCUCUGCCUCUCCGUCAAGCAUCUUGAGGUGGCUGAUGCCUGGGGGUGUGCCCCAGGGCACUUCAAGGGCACAGGGAUGGCAGCUGCUUGAGGCUACAGCUUACAACCUAGCCCUGUCCUCUGCUGUCUGGAGCUGAAAUGGAGCAUUUUGCAAUGAAAAAAGGCUUUUGCCUCUUCACUCUGUCUUUUUCAAAACCCGUCCACCUGAACAUGGGUAGAGUCCCCUGCACCACAUGUUAAAAAUGUUCUCCCCUGUGUUUUUAGGCAUUCCCUUUUUGCAUGAAACCCCUGGGAUA